rnacentral:lncRNA from 1 species
GUCAUUGUUCUCCAAAGGAUUGACAGUAACAAACUGUGGACAAUUUUUUUUUACAGAGUCAGUUCCAAUAACUGAGUGUCUGAAUCAGAAACAAUGGCAGAUAAUCAUCAUAAUAUCUGCUCUGAUGAAUGGGCUUCUGAUCAUUGUAGUGAUCGGACUAGUAAAGGUUUUUGUUGUUUGCAACAGAAGGUCUCCAAAACGAACACAACAACUGAACACUGACCUACAACAGACUCAAGUUACAGAACAACAUCAGGACCAAUUACAGUACGCUGAGGUGGAUUUUUCCAAGCUGCGUAGAAAUAUUCGUUCCAGCCAAAUCAACAGCACCUAUGCUGCUCUACAGCUGCCAAAGUCAUGAACACAUGAGUAUAAUGGACUACUUAUUUAGUUCAGUGUUUCUUGAAGUUCAUAAGCUCUGAAAUAAACCUCUAACCACAAACUGUGCGGCAGCUCUGAUUAGUUUUACUUCACAUUAACCAGGGGUUUUUAAACUGCAAAGGCAUGCGUGGUAAAGUUCAGAGAAAAAGUAAAAGUAAAAAUAAAAACUUAAAAUGGACUAAAUUUAAAAUACCUUUUUAGUCACUGUACAAAUAAUUUGUAUAAUAAGAGUAAACAAGCGUCAGCCAAAUGACAAAUUUUUUAUAUGCUUGGGUUUUUAAAGUGCAUUUUGCGUUGUGUCUGUAUUGUAAAUGUACUCUUUCUUCAAAACUGAUGGUCAGGAAAAUAAUAUUGACAUGACUGUUUUUAAUACCUUCCAUUCAAAACAAUAGUUUUUAAUACACAAAUACUGUAGUAUCUGUAAAAAUCUCAUGUGUUAAGCUUACUAGUGAAAGUCUGUUGCUCAUAUUUGUGUUCGGCCUGCUUGUCUUGUAAAAGUUGCUGCUUUGUAUUAAAUAAAUAAAUACAGUUUGUUUGUAGAUGUUUUGUUUUUUUUGUUUCAUGUCUGUGUUUGUCAGAGAUUCAUGAAUAAUUAAGAGCAUCUUGUUCAGUAAAAAACUAUUUCAACCUCAUAUUAAAUAAUACCACUAUUGAUGAAUUAGGACUUUAUGAUUGUAUGAACACAGACACGCAUUAAGCAUACAAUCAGAUUCAU